AGUGAACGCUGGCGGUAGGCCUAACACAUGCAAGUCGAACGGCAGCACAGUAAGAGCUUGCUCUUACGGGUGGCGAGUGGCGGACGGGUGAGGAAUACAUCGGAAUCUACUUUUUCGUGGGUGAUAACGUAGGGAAACUUACGCUAAUACCGCAUACGACCUACGGUUGAAAGCAGGGGAUCUUCUGACCUUGCGCGAUUGAAUGCGCCGAUGUCGGAUUAGCUAGUUGGCGGGGUAAAGGCCCACCAAGGUGACGAUCCGUAGCUGGUCUGAGAGGAUGAUCAGCCACACUGGAACUGAGACACGGUCCAGACUCCUACGGGAGGCAGCAGUGGGGAAUAUUGGACAAUGGGCGCAAGCCUGAUCCAGCCAUACCGCGUGGGUGAAGAAGGACUUCGGGUUGUAAAGCCCUUUUGUUGGGAAAGAAAAGAAGCAGGUUAAUACCCCGCUGUUCUGACGGUACCCAAAGAAUAAGCACCGGCUAACUUCGUG
rnacentral:rRNA from 1 species